CUGAAACAUUGGUUUCCAUACAAUCACUGAAGUUAAGCAACUUCAAGCCUGGUUAGUACCUAGAUUGGUGACCACUUGAGAAUACCAGGUGCUGUA